UUUAAUGCAGUGUUGGUGCAUUUUACAUUUUGGUUGUAUAGGAGGAUAGUUACCCAUUAUUU
rnacentral:tRNA from 2 species